GACGUUAGCGACAGAAGAAGCACCGGCUAACUCCGUGCCAGCAGCCGCGGUAAUACGGAGGGUGCGAGCGUUAAUCGGAAUUACUGGGCGUAAAGCGCAUGCAGGUGGUUUGUUAAGUCAGAUGUGAAAGCCCGGGGCUCAACCUCGGAAUUGCAUUUGAAACUAGGCAGACUAGAGUACUGUAGAGGGGGGUAGGAAUUUCAGGUGUAGCGGUGAAAUGCGUAGAGAUCUGAAGGAAUACCGGUGGCGAAGGCGGCCCCCUCGGACAGAUACUGACACUCAGAUGCGAAAGCGUGGGGAGCAAACAGGAUUAGAUACCCUGGUAG
rnacentral:rRNA from 1 species